ACGAACGCUGGCGGCGUGCUUAACACAUGCAAGUCGCACGGAAAGGCCCUGCUUUUGUGGGGUGCUCGAGUGGCGAACGGGUGAGUAACACGUGAGUAACCUGCCCUUGACUUUGGGAUAACUUCAGGAAACUGGGGCUAAUACCGGAUAGGAGCUCCUGCUGCAUGGUGGGGGUUGGAAAGUUUCGGCGGUUGGGGAUGGACUCGCGGCUUAUCAGCUUGUUGGUGGGGUAGUGGCUUACCAAGGCUUUGACGGGUAGCCGGCCUGAGAGGGUGACCGGCCACAUAGGGACUGAGAUACGGCCCAGACUCCUACGGGAGGCAGCAGUGGGGAAUAUUGCACAAUGGGCGGAAGCCUGAUGCAGCAACGCCGCGUGCGGGAUGACGGCCUUCGGGUUGUAAACCGCUUUCGCCUGUGACGAAGCGUGAGUGACGGUAAUGGGUAAAGAAGCACCGGCUAACUACGUG
rnacentral:rRNA from 1 species